rnacentral:rRNA from 1 species
UACGGGGGGGGCAAGCGUUGUUCGGAAUUACUGGGCGUAAAGGGCUCGUAGGCGGCCAACUAAGUCAGACGUGAAAUCCCUCGGCUUAACCGGGGAACUGCGUCUGAUACUGGAUGGCUUGAGGUUGGGAGAGGGAUGCGGAAUUCCAGGUGUAGCGGUGAAAUGCGUAGAUAUCAAGAGGAACACCUGAGGUGAAGACGGGUUGCUGGGCUGACACUGACGCUGAGGCGCGAAAGCCAGGGGAGCAAACGGG